AGUGAACGCUGGCGGUAGGCCUAACACAUGCAAGUCGAACGGCAGCACAGUAAGAGCUUGCUCUUACGGGUGGCGAGUGGCGGACGGGUGAGGAAUACAUCGGAAUCUACUUUUUCGUGGGGGAUAACGUAGGGAAACUUACGCUAAUACCGCAUACGACCUACGGGUGAAAGCAGGGGAUCUUCGGACCUUGCGCGAUUGAAUGAGCCGAUGUCGGAUUAGCUAGUUGGCGGGGUAAAGGCCCACCAAGGCGACGAUCCGUAGCUGGUCUGAGAGGAUGGACAGGCACAAUUGAAAUGGAGCAACGUCCAGACUUCUUAGGGGGGGAACAGGGGGGAAUAUUGGGCAAUGGGGGGAAGGCUUGAUCCAGCCAACCGGGGUGGUUGAAGAAGGCUUCCGGUUGUUAAAGCCUUUUGUUGGGAAAGAAAAGCAGCAGGUUAAUACCCCGCUGUUCUGACGGUACCCAAAGAAUAAGCACCGGCUAACUUCGUG
rnacentral:rRNA from 1 species